rnacentral:tRNA from 1 species
UCCUUGGUGGUCCCGUGACUAAGACUCUGCAUUCCCAAUGCAGGGGCCCAGGUUCGAUCCCUGGCCAGCAAA